rnacentral:piRNA from 1 species
CGCAGAGGAACCUGCUCCCAGUCGGCC